CUUUAGCUCCUAGGCGAUGCUAGAACUACUAACAUGCCGGUCAACUUUGAUUAUUUCUGAUUAUUUCACAAUUUCAGCGGCCUGGAUUGCAUCUUCGCCUUUAUCAAACAAAAACUGUAAAAAGUAAGGAAUUUUCUCGGUUUUUUCCAUUGUUAACACCCUGUAACUCACAACUGAAUAGAACAAACAAAGAAAAACAAACGUAUUUUUUAGUGUGAAAUGUCGCCUUGACAACGAUCAAAAGCUUUAAAUUGCCAUCUACCGAGAAAAUAUGGAUUUCUUUUUCCUCAAUAAUAUUAUCCUGUAACCAAAAUAGCAAAUCAAAAGGCCCAGACUAUAUAAGAAUAUACAUAUUAGGUGACUUGAGUGCUUAAUAAUUUUAGAUGCUGGUGUUGAGAUCAAAGCCAAGACGUAUUCAUAUAAGCUGUCACCUUGUCUGGAUGCGCCUGGAUCAAAUCUAUUGCGUAAAUCAUUUUCUUAUAUUUCCUUUAUUAUAAGUAUGUAUUUGUUUUUUAUUUGCGUGUAACAUUUUACAAAGUAAUCAAUGUUGCGUAUGUUUGUAGUUUAUUAAUUUUUUUUUUGUUAUAUUUUACUUCAGGUAUUGCUUACAGCUCGGUGGAAUUUGGCUCCAUAUAAGUAAAAAAUUAGAUUGAAAUAAAACGAA